rnacentral:pre_miRNA from 1 species
CCCUUAACUAUUAAAAGUUUCGUUUUGGUCCCUUAACUUAUUUUUUGGUUUCGUUUUGGUCCCUUAACUUAUUUUUUGGUUUCGUUUUGGUCCCUUAACUCUUCCUCCGUCAACCACUUUGGUCCUUUAUGUUAGGAUGAAUGUAUUAGAGUUAAGGACCAAAAUGAAAUCAAAAAAUAAGUUAAGUGACCAAAACGAAACUAAAAAAUAAGUUAAGGGACCAAAACAAAACUUUUAAUAGUAAAGGGA